CACGGCAAUGGGCGGUGGUUAGGCAUGCAUCGGUUGAUAGCAUCCGGAGAAACUAAAUGUAUGUCGUGGAGAGGAAGUAGAACAAUGCACCGCGAGGGAUGGCCCUUGGAUGAUGAUGUAAUGGUAAAAACACAAUUGACUGGAACUUAAAAUUCUUUAGUCACACUAGGAAAAUUGACUGGAACUUAAUAAGGGGUUUCGACUUGCAUGCCGUGUUCCGCUGUUAAGUAAAGACCAAAAUGUGAGAUAACCAGCUACAGUAAAAUUUAAUAUACUUAGUAUUGUUGAAGUUAUUAAGAUAAGUAUCGUAUUUUUUUUAAUUUUAUACAUGUACAGAAUGAGUGUGCAACGUGCAUGACCCAUUUGAUCCCUUUAAUAUAUAUAGGACUGUGGAUCUUUUGUUCAUUAGAUAUUCCCACUAUUUUCUUUUCCUUCUUUCUUUGAUCAUGUAGCCUUUGUUUAUUGAUUCCAUGAUGGGUCCUUGAUAAACAGGAACUAAAAAGCCUAUAUAAAUUGGGUGUAUUAGAUUUAAGAAGGCGAGGAAGGACAAUCUAAAAUAAGAAACAACCCUUUUUUUUUGACCAAAGCAUUCAGCUAGCUUAGUUGGAUUUUAAAGAGAAAACAAAAAAAGGGAUUUUAAAUAGAAAACGAUAAGAAACAACCUUUUUUGACCAAAACGUUCAGCUAGCUUAGUUGGAUUAUAAAGAGAAAACGAAAAAGGGAUUUUAAAUAGAAAACGAUAAGAAACAACCUUUUUUGACCAAAACGUUCAGCUAGCUUAGUUGGAUUUUAAAGAGAAAACGAAAAAGGGGAUUUUAAAGAGAAAACGAAAAAAGGUGGAAGGUGGGACUGGAACCCAGGUCUUCCGGUUGGGGUAAAAAGAGUAAAACUACCUUGCUGCUUGCUUGUCCGUGAUAGAAGACGGCUCGCGCAGGAUAACGUAAAUCCGACGGUGAAUUGUAAAGAGAAAAAACGAAUCAUUUUUUAUCCACUUACCGGCGGUAUGGUGGGUAAUUUACACCAACUUCAAGGGAAAAUUUAAUAACGUACGAGCAAAAGUUAUCCUUGCUUUACUAGUAAGGUAUAGAUGAUAUGAUUAGGUGACCCCAAAACAUUUACGUAUAUUUUUUUUCAGGACCAAGUUGAAGACAAACCACCUUUUAAAAUAAUUUCAACUCCUUUGCAAU
rnacentral:lncRNA from 1 species